CUUCUGGGUGUCGUGUCGAACGAUCGCAGAACGAUUUUUUGUUCUUUUCCAACUCGAUUUUUAACUCCCUAGACUAGUAGGAUGUUCCAACGGGUGAAGCAACAGUGCUGACGGCAGAGUUUCAGUGUCAAUUUUUCAUGCCAUGAUCACUGGGGCGGAAACCAUUAUGACGUUGCCUUGGACAUCAAACUAAACCAUCUCAUUCUUGCUUUUUUCUAACAUCGAAAUCUCAGAAGGCCAGGACUAAGAUGGACGCAGCCUCCACAUGCAACCUUGCAUUUGAGGAACACCCAUAGAACGGUCAACUUACCCCAUACUCUAACCUGAAUGCAGUGAUCAUAAAACUUUAUCUUUUACCUUAAUUGUUAGAUGGGUGUUGAUACCAAACUAUUUUUUCUCGUCUACCCAGGAGAAAGUCAUGGGUUCUGCUGCUGAGGUUGUCAUAAAGCAUGCUUUUUCCAUUUGUUGCAUUGGGCAAUAUUAUCAAAAGAUUCUGAAAGAAAUAAGAUAAUUUUCAAAGCACUAACAUGAAUAUGAAAGCAUUAAGUCAUUAAUGACCAUCUUUUAUUAUUGUUUAUUUAUAGUGUCUUUUAUUCUGCUUACCUGACUCAUGCAGAAUUCUGGCUUGAUGUUUGGUCCACCUGUUAGCUGGCUCUGGUGCUUGGUAGUCUUCUCAAACCUCUGAAUCAAGGCCACCAUGAGAGGCCUUCUGAAGACCAUCAUUACGCUUCAGAUCCAGUUGUCUUAACUAUGAGCCUACCACAAUCCCUGUGCACCAGCUAUGGAAAGUGCAGACCAAACUUCUACCUCCACCUAUAGAACUGAACUGGAGUCUGUGAACUAAUGCUGUGUUCGAGACAACUGGAACAGCAAACAAAGUGGAGUAUCCGACCUCUCAACUUGUGACUGAUCGAUCAGCACCAACCUCAACGAGAUGCAUCAUUUGACAUUGCAGACAAGAUCCUUUCUCUUUUUAAUGCAGCACUUAAGGAUGAAGCACCCUGAUCUACUAAGAUGCACAGAUUCAACUCUGGCCCAGCAUCAUCCCCACACCUCAUCGGCCAUCAGUUUAAUUUAAUGUCUGUCAAUUGCAAAUGCUAUUUAUUUCAGUUAUAUUACAACUUAAUGUUAACUUUAAUUGAGACUAGUAUUGUGUAAAGCUGGGGUUUCCAAACUUUUCAUUUCAAAACCUAUUAGACAAGUGUAAUCUAUUCUAGACCCACUAAAAUAUUUUUACAUAUACAUUUUUUUAAUGGGGUAAAACACAUUUGUUCUCUUUCAGUGGAGUCAUUUUAUUUUCAUAAUAUUUCAUAAUGUAAAGCAGUGGUUCUUAACGUUAUUCUUCGAGGCCCACUGCUCUGCACAUUUUGUAUGUCUCUUUUAUCUGACAGACUCAGUUCAGUUCAUUGAGAUCUCUUCUAAUGAGCUGAUGAUUUGAAUCAGGUGUGUUAAAUAAGGGAGACAUACAAAAUGUGCAGGGCAGUGGGCCUCGAGGAAUAACAUUAAGAACCACUGAUGUAAAGUAAAUACAAGUUUAUUUGCAAUACCAAAUAUUUUAUGGUAUAUUCUUUCAAAACCAUUGUCAUUGUUAAUUAUUAAUUUGGCCAAACUGUUGUUGCAUCAUUAAGGUGUGCAACACACCUUAACCUACUGUGUGACCGACAAGUGGGUCCUCCUGACCCACAGUUUAAAAUCCCCUGGUGUACUGAAUGUAUUGUAAUUAAAGUCGCAUCUAAGUCUUG